UCCAUCCUUGUCUUGGGGAGCAAAGUAUACAAUGAUCGACAAGUGAGGAUACUGUUGCUGAAACCCAUUGUUAAACAAAUAUAUCGCAUCCACGAUUUUACUUCGUGCGAUGCAAUUUUUGCGGGC